GAUAAUUGAGUUGUAAGUUUCCUGACUCAAUUAUUUCUCAGGCACAGGGAGGAGUUUACUGUAUGUAUAAAUUGAGAAUGCUUGCCUGCAUUAAACAGAAUUCAGUCAGCGAUAUUUAGAGCUACUUUACUUUGGGAAAGGGAAUCUGUGGCAGCGAUAUACUGGCUAGGCCAGUCAUGACCAAAGUCCGGCCCGCAGGCCAUUUGCGGCCCAAGUUCCGGUCUAAUACGGCCCCACAGUUACUUUGGUAAAUCUAACCAUUGUGGCCCCC